UCCGUCAGGACACCAGGAACAUGAUUGCAGUCCAGGAUACCAUACUGCAACCUCAAUCCAUCGAAUGUAAUUCAGUGAGAUAUAUAUGUUCUCAUUUCCAGACUUCAGUGUUCAAUUCAAUUCAAUAUGUUAGCUUACUGAUUGCUGCAUACCUACCAUUUCUCAAAUGUACGAUGUGGUUUCUGCUGUUGAUUUCAAAUUGGCGAGAUAUAGUUAAACUUAGGUUAUUGUCAUAUUAGCGGAGGAAAAUCUUGAUUCCUAAAUGCAGUAGGCUAACUAUCAAUAAAUCUUUUAUGUAUAAUACACUGCCUGGAAUGUAGCUCUAAAUACACUGCCUGGAAUGUAGCAAAGGGAUUUUGGUAGUACAUGCAUGUUUAUGCUCACUGUUGAAUAGUCUGUAUAUAACUAUUUAUGCAAUACUUGGACCAUAGGAGCAAUUCAUUCUGUAUAUUGUGCAGGGGAUUGUGCCUUGCAGUCAAUUUAUAGAAGGGUAAGAUGUAUCACAAUAUCUUUGACUUGCAUUCUCUGUGAUGUCAAGUAAGAAAAUAGAAUAUAUACUCUUUGAAUUAUCUUUUUUUUCGACGUCUCUAUCUUACUUAUAUAAUCCAAUUGGCAUUCGCUAGAGUUUCUGUUGAUGAAACAUUUGUUUUGUGAUGUGAGGAGGUUCUGUUUGUGACUUUGCAAUCAAUAUUCGUAGAUCAUGAUAUCUGCACAAUCUCAAUCUACUUCCUGUGACCAUAUAUUGUAUUAAUGGGUUGUGUCAGGGUUAUUUUAUCAACUACUGGGUUGUUGAUCUACAUUACGGUUUAAUUCUUACACGAAUUAUUGUUGACUUGAUUCCCUGUAGUAGGUUGAGAGGCUUCUCCUCUCAUGAUUUACUCUGAUUAGUUUGCUUGGCUCCAUGCUCCUCAUGAUUUCUUUGAAUUUUUCUGUAGGAGCUCGGUCAAAAAUCACCUAAGAAAAAUAUGUCGUUCUUCUCUACAAGGGUUCCAUGUGGAAUCUGAGGAGAAUAUGUGCACCAGCGUCCGACUCCUUGAUGUUGCUCUGAUCAUAUUGUGUAAAUAUAUUUCUAAUAAAGCAAUCGCCCGAUGGUGUACAUGUUAGAAAUAAUAAGAUGUAAUCAUCAAGUGUGAGAGAUGGCAACAUCAUGAUGGGAUGGUAUGUACUGUUGUGCUCAUCAAUAAAGUUAGAUCACUUUUCUGUCUGAGAGUCGAUUUUUUUGUGCGUUAGAUGGAUUGACAAGUACCAAAGUUUGAUGCAAGCAGAACUAAAACCUGUCCAUUGAUUACCUUCAGUCCCACAUUUCAAUCAACAACAUUGGGCCGAGCGAGCGCGUGGGUGGCGCAAGAGGCAAUGGGCAGCCGG
rnacentral:lncRNA from 1 species